GGAUUUGGGGGCGUGGUUUAAAGAUUGUGGGCGUGGCUUCCUAAUUUGUGGGUGUGGCCACAAAUUUGUGGGAUUGGAGGUGAAAUUUGGGUGAAAAAAGGCGAAAAAAAUGGGGGAAAAAUGACCAAAAAUGGGGUUUAAAAGCAUCUAAAUGAGGUUGAAGUGGGCGUGGCUUAAAUGAUGUGGGCGUGGUUAAAUUGUUUGUGGGCGUGGCCAAAAUUUAGAGAGAUUUGGGAGAGUGGGAAGGAAAUUUGGGUGAAAAAAGAUGAAAUUUGUGAGGAAAAAAUGUCAUAAAAUAGGAAUAAAAUGAAUAAAAUUGGGAUUUGGGGGCGUGGUUUAAGAAUUGUGGGCGUGGCUUCCUAAUUUGUGGGUGUGGCCACUAAUUUUGGGGAGUGGGAGGUGAAAUUUGGGUGAAAAAAGGCGAAAAAUGGGGUAAAAAUGACCAAAAAUGGGGUUUAAAAGCAUCUAAAUGGGGUUGAAGUGGGCGUGGCUUAAAUGAUGUGGCGUGGCUAAAUUGUUUGUGGCGUGGCCAAAAAUUUAAAAUAUUUGGGGGGUUGAGGAGAGAAAUUUGGGUGAAAAAAGAUGAAAUUUGGGUGAAAAGAGGUUAAAAAAUGGGGUAAAAAUGACUAAAAAUGGGGUUUGGGGCGUGGUUAAGGAUUGUGGGCGUGGCUUCCUAAUUUGUGGGUGUGGCCACAAAAUCUGUGGGAUGGGAGGUGAAAUUUGGGUGAAGAAAGGCGAAAACAUGGGGUCAAAGUGACCAAAAAUGGGGUUUGAAAGCAUCUAAAUGGGGUUAAAAGGGCGUGGCUUAAAUGAUGUGGGCGUGGCUAAAUUGUUUGUGGGCGUGGCCAAAAAUUUAGAGAGAUUUGGGAGAGUGGGAAGGAAAAUUUGGGUGAAAAAAGGUGAAAUUUGUGAGGAAAAAAUGUCUUAAAAUAGGAUUAAAAUGAAUAAAAAUGGGAUUUGGGGGCGUGGUUUAAGGAUUGUGGCGUGGCUUCUUAAUUUGUGGGUGUGGCCACAAAAUUUGUGGGAUGGGAGGUGAAAUUUGGGUGAAAAAAGGUCAAAAAAAAGGACAAAAAUGUAUUAAAAUUAAAGGGGCGUGGCCUAAUAGUUAUGGCGUGGCCUCGGGUUAGUGGGUGUGCAUGUCAAUUUGUGGGCGUGGCUUCUUAAAUUGUGGGUGUGGCCUAGAAAUUUAAGGCCGAAAUUUGGGAGAAAAAAUUAGAAAUAAAAAGGGAUUUAAACAAUGAAAAAUGGAAAUUAAGGGGCGUGGUUUAAUGUUUGUGGGCGUGGCUUAUGCAAUAUAAUAUUCCAUAUAUGGACAUAA